AAUGCCAAUGGGGCUUUGUGCCAACGAGAAAAUCAGUAGAGAGUAUAACAGAAUGAGGAGGAUGGCCAGAGUGGUUGUGGGGGUGACGUUUUACACAGGGAGGUCAAGGUGACAUUUGAGGAGUGGCCCCAAAGAAGUAAGGACACAGACCUGUGGGUACGUGAGCGCAGAAACAGCCCAGGUAAACGGCCCCCGAGGGAACUGCCCCGGCCAGGUCCACAGGUGACAGGGAGAGGAUUCAGGAGAAGAGAGAAGAGCCGAGAUGCCACGAAGCCAGUGUGUGCCUGGAAGGAUACAGCAGACGAGGGCUUGCGAAGUGUGGUCGAGAUUCUGUAUUUUAUUCCUAGUGAGAUGGAAGGAUGCUGAAGGGAUCCGAGCAGCGAAGUGAGGGAAUCUGACUGGUAAUUCAGAACCCAGGGCGCAGAAGUGGGGCAGGGAGGUAGGGUGGGAAAAUAGAAGGUGGGAACCUCCGCAGUUACGGUUCUGGGGACAAGGCAGUCCCAUUUGUGACGUGCUCUGCGGACAGUGGGGUGGCCUGGACAUUCGACGGAAGGCAGCAGGCGUACUGCCGUGGAGCCGGGGCUGGCCUCAGAGGGGGAGAAGGGUCGGGAGUUUGGACCUGCUGAGCCUGAACUAAAAGUGAAGCUAUCCGGGACACAGCCGGGACCCAGUGUGCUCUCCAGAGGGGCAGGGGAUCUGGCAGCAGGCGCAGAACAAGCUCUUGGGAGAAGUUCCGCCCAACGUCAGAGCGGGAACACGAGGGCACCCAGGGAGAAGUGUUGGAAAGCGGCCCUCCGAGAGCACGGGGCUGCACGUAAUGCCGUCUGCCUCGUCGUGACAGCAUGAAACCCUCACAAACGUGAUGCCCGAGCUUGGACUUCUCAGCCUCCGAAACGAGCCAAAGUGAUCUUAAUUCUUCUCAGUGGAGGCUACAGUGGAGUAAACGAGUUCUUGGUCCCUCAGGUAAAUGAGCUCUGACCCGCUGGCAAGUGUUCAGAGAAACAUUUGUGGAUUCACAGGAAGUUGAAAAGAUAAAGCAGAGUGGUUCUGUGGCCCUUCUCCAGCUUCCUCCAGAGGGGACCUCCCACGUGAUCGUAGCACAGUGCAAACCAGGAAGCCGGCGCUGACACAGAUUUCAGUUCAGCUAGCGGCCUCCCAUUUCAUUGCUAGAACUUCACACGUCGCUGUUGGCCCGGAGGAGAACGCGGGUACACAGCAAAAGCAUGGAUCGCGCACAUCCACGUGGGCCCCUCUUGAACUACCACUAUAAAAUAUGGGAAAAGUUCUUUGGGGAAAUAUAAACAUGCAAUCGUUUUUAAGAAGAGAGAAAGAAGAGAGAAUAAAGAGCACUACAUUUUGGAGGCUAAGCAGAGCAAGUUCCACCUCUAAUAUUCAGGCAUACCAGGUUAUUCAGGUCUUUCUCUUUGAAAAU
rnacentral:lncRNA from 1 species